GCUGGGUGUGGUGGUGCACACCUGUAAUCCCAGCUGUUCGGGAGGCUGAGGCAGGAAGAUGGCAAGUUUGAGGCUGGUCUCAAUCACUUAGUAAGGUUCUAAGCAAUUUAUUGAGACCCUGUCUCAG
rnacentral:sRNA from 1 species